rfam:Danio rerio chromosome 4, GRCz11 reference primary assembly.
ACGUUGGUGGUUCAGUGGUAGAAUUCUUACCUGCCACGCGAGAGAUCUGGGUACAGUUCUUAGCCAAUGCA